rnacentral:rRNA from 1 species
CAGCAGCCGCGGUAAUACGAAGGGGGCUAGCGUUGCUCGGAAUCACUGGGCGUAAAGGGCUCGCAGGCGGUUUCUUAAGUCUGAUGUGAAAGCCCCCGGCUCAACCGGGGAGGGUCAUUGGAAACUGGGAAACUUGAGUGCAGAAGAGGAGAGUGGAAUUCCACGUGUAGCGGUGAAAUGCGUAGAGAUGUGGAGGAACACCAGUGGCGAAGGCGACUCUCUGGUCUGUAACUGACGCUGAGGAGCGAAAGCGUGGGGAGCGAACAGGAUUAGAUACCCGUGUAGUCCCUGUCUCUUAUAC